rnacentral:tRNA from 1 species
GAGAGCUUAGUUUAAAUCCGAUAGAACGUCAGGCUUCCACCCUGAGAGUAGUGCUCUUU